UACGUAGGGUGCAAGCGUUAAUCGGAAUUACUGGGCGUAAAGCAUGCGCAGGCGGUUGGGUAAGACAGAUGUGAAAUCCCCGGGCUCAACCUGGGAACUGCAUUUGUGACUGCACGGCUGGAGUGCGGCAGAGGGUGAUGGAAUUCCGCGUGUAGCAGUGAAAUGCGUAGAUAUGCGGAGGAACACCGAUGGCGAAGGCAAUCCCCUGGGCCUGCACUGACGCUCAUGCACGAAAGCGUGGGGAGCAAACAGG
rnacentral:rRNA from 1 species